GACGAACGCUGGCGGCGUGCCUAAUACAUGCAAGUCGAACGAACUCUGGUAUUGAUUGGUGCUUGCAUCAUGAUUUACAUUUGAGUGAGUGGCGAACUGGUGAGUAACACGUGGGAAACCUGCCCAGAAGCGGGGGAUAACACCUGGAAACAGAUGCUAAUACCGCAUAACAACUUGGACCGCAUGGUCCGAGUUUGAAAGAUGGCUUCGGCUAUCACUUUUGGAUGGUCCCGCGGCGUAUUAGCUAGAUGGUGAGGUAACGGCUCGCCAUGGCAAUGAUACGUAGCCGACCUGAGAGGGUAAUCGGCCACAUUGGGACUGAGACACGGCCCAAACUCCUACGGGAGGCAGCAGUAGGGAAUCUUCCACAAUGGACGAAAGUCUGAUGGAGCAACGCCGCGUGAGUGAAGAAGGGUUUCGGCUCGUAAAACUCUGUUGUUAAAGAAGAACAUAUCUGAGAGUAACUGUUCAGGUAUUGACGGUAUUUAACCAGAAAGCCACGGCUAACUACGUGCCAGCAGCCGCGGUAAUACGUAGGUGGCAAGCGUUGUCCGGAUUUAUUGGGCGUAAAGCGAGCGCAGGCGGUUUUUUAAGUCUGAUGUGAAAGCCUUCGGCUCAACCGAAGAAGUGCAUCGGAAACUGGGAAACUUGAGUGCAGAAGAGGACAGUGGAACUCCAUGUGUAGCGGUGAAAUGCGUAGAUAUAUGGAAGAACACCAGUGGCGAAGGCGGCUGUCUGGUCUGUAACUGACGCUGAGGCUCGAAAGUAUGGGUAGCAAACAGGAUUAGAUACCCUGGUAGUCCAUACCGUAAACGAUGAAUGCUAAGUGUUGGAGGGUUUCCGCCCUUCAGUGCUGCAGCUAACGCAUUAAGCAUUCCGCCUGGGGAGUACGGCCGCAAGGCUGAAACUCAAAGGAAUUGACGGGGGCCCGCACAAGCGGUGGAGCAUGUGGUUUAAUUCGAAGCUACGCGAAGAACCUUACCAGGUCUUGACAUACUAUGCAAAUCUAAGAGAUUAGACGUUCCCUUCGGGGACAUGGAUACAGGUGGUGCAUGGUUGUCGUCAGCUCGUGUCGUGAGAUGUUGGGUUAAGUCCCGCAACGAGCGCAACCCUUAUUAUCAGUUGCCAGCAUUAAGUUGGGCACUCUGGUGAGACUGCCGGUGACAAACCGGAGGAAGGUGGGGAUGACGUCAAAUCAUCAUGCCCCUUAUGACCUGGGCUACACACGUGCUACAAUGGAUGGUACAACGAGUUGCGAACUCGCGAGAGUAAGCUAAUCUCUUAAAGCCAUUCUCAGUUCGGAUUGUAGGCUGCAACUCGCCUACAUGAAGUCGGAAUCGCUAGUAAUCGCGGAUCAGCAUGCCGCGGUGAAUACGUUCCCGGGCCUUGUACACACCGCCCGUCACACCAUGAGAGUUUGUAACACCCAAAGUCGGUGGGGUAACCUUUUAGGAACCAGCCGCCUAAGGUGGGACAGAUGAUUAGGGUG
rnacentral:rRNA from 1 species